CUACAGGAGGCAGCAGUGAGGAAUAUUGCACAAUGGGGGGAAACCUGAUGCAGCAACGCCGCGUGGAGGAUGACGCAUUUCGGUGUGUAAACUCCUUUUAUAUGUCAAGAAAAUGACGGUAGCAUAUGAAUAAGCACCGGCUAACUCCGUGCCAGCAGCCGCGGUAAUACGGAGGGUGCAAGCGUUACUCGGAAUCACUGGGCGUAAAGGACGCGUAGGCGGGUUGGAAAGUCAGGUGUGAAAUCCUACAGCUUAACUGUAGAACUGCACUUGAAACUUCUAAUCUAGAGUAUGGGAGGGGGAGAUGGAAUUAGUGGUGUAGGGGUAAAAUCCGUAGAUAUCACUAGGAAUACCUAAAGCGAAGGCGAUCUCCUGGAACAUUACUGACGCUAAGGCGUGAAAGCGUGGGGAGCAAACAGGAUUAGAUACCCUAGUAGUC
rnacentral:rRNA from 1 species